rnacentral:tRNA from 1 species
AAGAAUGCAUGCAAGAGCUGCUAACUCAUGCUCCCGUACUUAAACGUACGGCUUUCUUA